AUGGACACGCCAGAUGAAGUAGAAACAAGACGGCUGAGAACACUUACAGUUAGGGCAAUGGAAAACUAUAAAGAAAAGGUUAAAGCAUAUCAUGCUAAACUAUUAGAAAAGAGACAAGCAGUUGAGGCAUCAUUAGCCUAUCUGGAGGAACAAACAGGAGAUAUACAAAUUCUAGGACAGGUUAGAGAAACUCUUGUGGAAGUACUUAACCAUUAUUAUGAACUUUGCAAAGAAUUCUGUGAAUACUUGUCACCUCAAAAUACGGAACAAAGUAAUAGUGAACUAUUAGUACAAAAAUCUGUGUUUCAAACAAUAGCUAAAGAAGUAGAUCUAGCAAUUAAAUUCAUUGAUGAGCAAACAAGUCAUAGUACCAAGAUCGAAACAGAGAAUAGCUCAACAGCACAUCUAGUCAAAGAGGAUGAGCCUCAAUUAACAAUUAGGAAAGAGAGCCCAGUUCAUCAUUCUAGUCUUCAUGGUUCUUUACAUGAUCAAGGCAAUUCUAGUCAUAAGAUCCAAGGACAUAAGUCACAUUCUAGUUCUAGUCAUAAAGCUAAAGGUAGUGAUGGAGGUCGUUCUUCAAAUUACACUCACAGUCAUUCUAGUCAGGGAAGUCGCUCAAGCAAGUCAAUUCUUCGAGACAAAACAGCUAGAGCUGAAGCUGCUCAGGCAAAACUUAAAUUCAUAGAAGAGGAAGAGAAAUUAGUAAGAAAACAAAAUGAGUUAGAAUUAGAAGUCCAAAAACAAAGAUCAGAACUUAAAUCAAACUUAAACAUUUUGAAACAUAAAAGAGAGAUUGCAGAAGCCGAGGCAGAAUUAACAGCAGUUAAGGAAAUUUUAGAUGAGGAAAAUGCAAUAGAUAGCAAUUGGAAGGACAGAGGUCUGAACCUUCCUGAAUCAAGUGCUUCUCAAAUAGUAAAAUCUUAUGUUACCAAUCAGAGACCGAAAGUUUAUGUUCCAGUUGAGGAAACAAAAUUAAACCCUCGUGUACAAGAAUUUGUGCCUUCAACAAUACUGCAAAAAGAAAUCAAAACAUCUCAACCACAACAGACUAUGCACGUGUCUGAAUCACCUGGAAUAAUUGACCUCACAAAAUAUAUUAUGAAGAAAGAUCUUUUAAUUUCAAGAUUAUCGACUUUCGAUGACAAACCUGAACGAUAUUGCAGUUGGAAAAAUAGCUUUAACAACAUACUAAGAGAACUGGAUGCAACAGAUUCAAAACAGUUAGAUCUUUUAAACAGAUACUUAGGCCCACAGUCAAAACGACAUGCAGCAAGUCUGAGAGUUGCUAACUCCCACAACGAAAAUCAAGCUGUUGUUAAGAUUUGGCAAAGGUUGGAUGAAAGAUAUGGGGCGCCAGAAAGUAUAGCAGCAGCACUUAAAGAUCGACUUGAUAAAUUCAAUAAAAUCAACAAUACAGAAUAUGACAAACUUUAUGAAUUAUAUGACUUAUUGGCUGAGGUAGAAUCAAUUAAAGAAAAUAAUAUAUACAGGACAGUCCUAUCAUUCUAUGAUUCAUCGUAUUGGGUGAAUGCAAUCGUAGGGAAAUUGCCAAACUUUAUUCAAACAAAAUGGAUGGAUCGUGCUAGUAGGUACAAAACACAACAUUCUGUGAUGUAUCCGCCUUUUUCAACGUUUGUAGAAUUCUUACACAGCAUGGCAGUGCGAAUGAAUGACCCUAGCCUCAAAAUCCAACCAUCAGAUAGUGGACGAGACAAAAAAGUGGAACGGAAAUAUGCUGGAAAAAAGGACUCCUGGUCAGACUGUUUUGAAAACAACUAUUGAAAAACAAAACACUUCGGCUAAUCUGAACUUAAAAUGUAUUAUUCAUGAAAAUGGCAAACACAAACUUGCUGACUGUAAAGUAUUUGUUGAGAAACCGUUAGAAGAAAAAAGACAAAUAAUACGGAAAAAUGGGAUUUGUUUCAAAUGCCUAAAUGGGAAGCAUCUAGCUAAAGAUUGCAAAGCUAACAUAAAGUGUGAGAAAUGUGGAAAAAAGGCACACUGUACAGCCUUUCACUUUGAACGUGAAACCCUACAAAAUAAUGGCGGGGAAAGACAAGUUGACAAUAUACCGCAAGACCAAGUAAGUACAAAAUGUACUGAAAUUUGUAAGGACUCGGGAGAAACUACUUUCCAAGGAAAGUCUUGUGCAAAGCAUCUGCUAGUCAAGGUGUAUCCGGAAGGCAAACCAGAAGUCAGUGUUACUACUUAUGCGAUCAUUGAUGAUCAGAGUAAUAGGUCUUUAGCCUGUUCAACAUUUAUAGAUUAUUUCAAUGAAACCACAGAGCCAGUUGAAUACACACUAGCAUCUUGCUCGGGAAAAACUGUUCAACAUGGUCGUCGUACUACAGGGUACAUACUAGAAUCUUUGGAUGGCACUACACAACUGAAGUGUCCAUCUCUGAUUGAAUGCAACGAAAUUCCGAUCUCAAAGCGAGAAAUAGCUACUCCUGCCAUAGCUAGGCACUACAAACAUCUACAGGAUAUAGAACAGUUCAUACCAGAACUUGAUAGGAAUGCCGAAGUUUAUGCUUCUUAUAGGACGGGAUGUGACCGCCGCUCAUCACAUUUUAGAUCAAAGAAUUGGCAAGGACAACGAACCGUAUGUACAACGUCUUCGUCUAGGAUGGGCAAUAAUUGGCGAAACAUGCUUAGGUUUAGUGCACACAUCAGAUACAAUCACAGUUAACAAAACAACAGUUCUUCCAAACGGCAGAGAGACAAAUCUCAAACCAUGUGAAUAUGGUUUCAGAGUGAAAGACAAGGAACCAGAUAUUGGUAGUACUGUUUUCAAACAAACUAGAGAAGAUGAUACUUUAGGAUUAUCUCAAGAGGACAAAGAAUUUCUAAUCGUUAUGGAUAAAGAAUUUCACACGUCAGAAAAAUGGUCGUUUAUCGGCACCUUUACCGUUUCGGAGAGAUAGACCAAAACUUCAAAACAACUAUCAUCAGGCAAGACAAAGAGCAGAGAAUCUUAGUAGAAGCUUCAAACGAGACUCCACUAAACAGCAUUUUGUAGAAUUUAUGAAAAAGAUAUUUGUAAAUAAUCACGCAGAAGCAGUCACUCCGGCUAGAAAGGGAGAGGAAGUUUGGUAUCUCCCAAUCUUUGGAGUUUAUCACGCAAAGAAGCAAUCAAAAAUCAGAGUAGUAUUCGACUCAGCAGCUAAAUAUAAUGGACUUUGUCUGAAUGAUAUUCUUAUGAAGGGACCAGACUUAACAAACAACUUGGUUGGUGUACUAUUGAAGUUUAGGAAGGGUAAAGUUGCCGCAAUUGCAGAUGUUGAACAAAUGUUUUUCAAUUUUGAGGUAAAUGAAGAACACAGGAACUACUUAAGAUUUGUAUGGUUUAAGGAUGUAUGUCAUUAUGUAAACAACAAUUUUUAUGUAGAUGAUGGUUUAGUGUCAGGCGACAGCCCUGAAGAAAUUGUAAGUCUCAUCAAAAGGACUCAAGAAAGAUUAAUAACAGGAGGUAAAAUUAGACUGCAUAAGAUAGUAUCGAAUAAUAGUGAGGUAGUCAAGAGUUUUGAAACAAAGGAUUUAGCUGAAAGCAUUACCAAGAUUGACUUUAAUUCAGAGUCUACAUGUCUACAGAGAAGUUUAAGUUUAUGUUGGAAAGUUUGUAAAAGACAUUUUCACCUAUCAGUUAUCUAAAGAGGAGAAACCCUUUACAAAAAGAGGGCUGCUAUCAGUAAUUAAUGGAGUAUUUGAUCCGUUAGGGUUCAUAGCUCCUGUAAUCCUUGGCGGAAGGUUAAUUAUGAAAGAAGCAGUACAAAACAAUUCAUUAGAUUGGAAUGAUCCGUUGCCUGAUGAUUUACUCUCUGACUGGCAGAGAUGGAAACAGUCCUUACAGGAUCUUGAAACAUUAGAGAUAGGGAGGCCUUUCACUAGUCAAUCAUUGAACGACAGUACUGAAUGUGAAUUACACAUCUUCUCGGACGCAUCAAAGGAGGCGAUUUCGUCUGUUGCCUAUAUCCGUACAUUUGACAAGAAAGGAGAUUCAGAACUAGGUUUUUAGUAGGAAAGUCCAAACUGGCUCCGUGUCAUGGACAUACCAUACCGAGGCUGGAAUUAUAUGGAGCUGUUCUGUCAACUGAGUUAGCUACAUUCAUUCAGAAUGAACUGAAAUUGUCAUUAAGUUCCACACACUUUUAUACCGAUAGUCAGGUAGUACUAGGGUAUAUAUACAAUGAGAAAAGAAGGUUUUAUGUGUAUGUCAGCAACCGUGUUAGCAAAAUUUUGAAAGGUUCUGUGAAAUCACAAUGGAGCUAUGUACCAACAGAGUUAAAUCCUGCUGAUCAUGGCACACGGCCGUUAGAAGCAAAACAUGUAGGAGACUCAAAGUGGUUAUUAGGACCAAAAUCAUAAAUAGAUACUUUUCACAAAUCCGAAUGCACUUCAUUUGAUAUUGUGUCACCUGAUGAAGACCAGGAAGUUUGUCCUAUAGCAGUAGAGUCUAUGAAAACAUUGAUAUCACCUAUUCAAACCUUAGGAGUUGAUCGGUUUGAGAGAUUCUCAAAAUGGUCAAGUUUAGUAAGAGCUAUAUCUUUGUUGAAAAGAAAGAUUGUGUCUAGUUAUAGGAGUAAAGUAGAUACUAAGGAUACAAGGACUUGUGUAGAUAUCAGAAAAGAGGCUGAAACACUUGUUUUGAGAGAAACUCAGUUACAGUAUUAUUCUAAUGAAACAGAUUGUUUAAAGAGUGGUAAACACUUGCCUAAAAACAGCAAUAUUAUUGCACUUUCUCCAAUACUUGAUUCAGAAGGACUGUUAAGAUUAGGCGGAAGACUAAAACAUUCUAAAUUAGAAACUGGAGAAAAGAUGCCUCUAAUCAUACCAGGUGGAAGCCAUAUUGCUUCAUUGUUAAUAACACACUUUCAUGAGUCAGUGCACCAUCAGGGACGCCAUUACACAGAAGGUGCUGUACGCUCAAAUGGUUUCUGGAUAACUGGAGAAAAACGCCUUAUUAAUUCUAUUUUGCACAAGUGCGUACAAUGUAGGAAACUAAGAGGAAAAGUAGAACACCAGAAAAUGGCAGAUCUGCCAUCAGAUCGUCUUACACCAAGUCCUCCGUUUUCAUACGUAGGUGUUGAUACAUUUGGACCAUGGUCUGUAGCCACAAGGCGAACACGUGGAGGUGCCGCUAAUUCUAAACGAUGGGCAAUAAUGUUUUCAUGCCUUGUUACUCGUGCCAUCCACAUUGAGGUCAUAGAGGAAAUGACUUCAUCCUCAUUCAUUAAUGCUUUGCGUCGAUUUACAGCAAUAAGAGGACCCGUAAGAGAAUUUAGAUCUGAUCAAGGUACCAACUUUGUAGGAGCAGUAAAUGAAUUGUCACUACUAUAUAAUGAUGAAAAUAUUCAGGGAUAUCUGUCUAAAAAACAAAUUGUAUGGACAUUCAAUCCACCCCAUGCCUCACACAUGAACGGUGCAUGGGAACGCAUGAUUGGACUGGCAAGAAGAAUUCUCGAUUCAAUGCUAACAGAUAUUCAAGGAAAGCAACUCACUCAUGAAGUUUUAUACACAUUAAUGACAGAAGUUUGUUGUAUCGUCAAUAGUAGACCGAUAAUUGCUGUGUCAAAUGAUCCUGAAUCACCUACUAUUUUGUCACCAAACACUCUAUUGACACAAAAAAUUAAUAGUGACAUAGAACCGUAUCAUUUCAAUUUUUCUGUGAAGGAUAUGUACAAAUCACAGUGGAAGCAUGUACAAGUUUUAGCAAAUCAUUUUUAG
rnacentral:sRNA from 1 species